AGAACACAGAGGAAGGGUCAAGGCUGACAUUUCCUGUCUCCUCUCACUUUUCCCCUUGCUCCAUCCGGGGAACAAGGGCCCAUUGAGAGGCGCAGAACAUUGCUUCCAGGGGAACUGAAAAUGAAAAGCAAGGCUCGAUGCCGCGGGCUGCGGCACUGAAAGAAAGACGCCUUGUUCACUCCAAGCUGCUCACAGCCCUACCCUUUAUUGCGUGUGUAAUGUGGAAUGAGGAGAGAGCUGAGUGGUGGAUGGCUGAAUGUAUUGCAGCAUUGUAAAGAAACCACCUGGACCCACAUUACUGGGCAAAGCGCGCUGUGAAAGUCAACGGACACAAAACCCUAUUUCAGUAAGCGACCAGAUCUUGAAUUCAGAUACUGUAC